AGGGUUCGAUUCUGGCUCAGGACGAACGCUGGCGGCGCGCCUAACACAUGCAAGUCGAACGGAGUUGCCUUUGCAGAAGCUUUCGGGUGGACGUGAGGGCAACUUAGUGGCGAACGGGUGAGUAACACGUGAGGAACCUGCCCUGGAGUGGGGGACAACAGUUGGAAACGACUGCUAAUACCGCAUAAGCCCACAGCACCGCAUGGUGCAGAGGGAAAAGGAUUGAUUCGCUUCAGGAUGGCCUCGCGUCCAUUUAGGUAGAUGGUGAGGUAACGGCCCACCAUGCCGACGAUUGGUAGCCGGACUGAGAGGUUGAACGGCCACAUUGGGACUGAGACACGGCCCAG
rnacentral:rRNA from 1 species